AUGACACAUCGCCGCAUCUUUUCCUUUGAAUCUUUUCCUGAUUAUGGUAGGUAUAUAUUCUCCAAAUCAUUCGGGUACCAGUUUCUUUAUUUUGACCUUACCCAUCUUACCCAUCCUAUGAAACAUGCUCACCUCUUGAGUUCCCUUAAGGCCAUAGUUCGAUGUCCAAAAGGCUAUAGGACACGAGCACAUGACCCCUAUGAGGAAUAUUCCAUAUCAAGUGGGAACUACUAUUAUUCACUGAAACCAGUUUUCACAAAAAGUCAACGCCAAGUGAACAGAAUGAUUUAUAAUUUUUUGAAAUCACGUCCUCCCAAUUCAGCCAAUUUACAUCAGUUAUCUCUUCCUGCAUCGUUCUGUGCCAACAAAACCUAUACUGAACUUCUUGAGCAUGAAGCCAUCCGCGAACUGUAG
rnacentral:rRNA from 1 species